UACGUAGGGGGGCGAGCGUUGUCCGGAAUCAUUGGGGCGUAAAGAGCGUGUAGGCGGUUUGGUAGGUCUCGCGUUAAAAUCCCCGCAGCUCAACUGCGGACGUGCGCGGGAAACCACCUCACUAGAGUCCGGAAGAGGAGAGUGGAAUUUCAGGUGUAGCGGUGAAAUUCGUAGAUAUUUCGGAAAGAACACCAGUGGCGAAGGCGGCUCACUGGUCCGGUACUGACGCUGAGGGUGCGAAAAGCGUGGGGGAGCAAAACAGG
rnacentral:rRNA from 1 species